rnacentral:miRNA from 1 species
UAUCGGAGAUAGGACUUGAUACC